GACGAACGCUGGCGGCGUGCUUAACACAUGCAAGUCGAACGGAAAGGCCCUGCUUUUGUGGGGUGCUCGAGUGGCGAACGGGUGAGUAACACGUGAGUAACCUGCCCUUGACUUUGGGAUAACUUCAGGAAACUGGGGCUAAUACCGGAUAGGAGCUCCUGCUGCAUGGUGGGGGUUGGAAAGUUUCGGCGGUUGGGGAUGGACUCGCGGCUUAUCAGCUUGUUGGUGGGGUAGUGGCUUACCAAGGCUUUGACGGGUAGCCGGCCUGAGAGGGUGACCGGCCCCCUUGGGACUGGGGUACGGCCCAGACUCCUACGGGAGGCAGCAGUGGGGAAUAUUGCACAAUGGGCGGAAGCCUGAUGCAGCAACGCCGCGUGCGGGAUGACGGCCUUCGGGUUGUAAACCGCUUUCGCCUGUGACGAAGCGUGAGUGACGGUAAUGGGUAAAGAAGCACCGGCUAACUACGUG
rnacentral:rRNA from 1 species